GUGGUUUUAUUCACAACCAUGCACCAUUCAUAUAUUAAUAUACAUUAUAGAAAAGUCAAGAUCACAGCGUCACCUUGUGCACUACACUCCCAGUGGUUGUGUUUAUAUAUAUAAGGCGAUUUCUAACACUGCCGAUCCACUGCUUGAUGUCACAGAGGCCUUCCCGCACCGUGUCGGUCAUGGGGGCUCGACUUUACAGUCCUCAAGGGCUGAUCGGUGUGGGCUCGUGAAAGGUCGAGGAUUGGCUUUGAUGUCACUCCCCACUGACGAUCGUCAUCGCCGGGAAUCAAACUUAGGUCCAGUGGUUAGUGCAGCGCGCUCACCAAUGCACCACUGCCGCACCCUAAGUUGCUGUUUUAGUGAGUACCAAUUAGGCCUGGCAUAGUACACGUGGACAAUAGGACCCAGUAACUCUGCCGGACCGAUAAAGUGUUAACACCCUGCGGAUGGUCAUAAUUUUCAUCUCAUCUCGCCCGCGGCUAUUCCAGGACAAGUUCCACGAGUUAACGUGGCCAGGAAUCCAACCGAGGUGGGAGAGGGAUUUGUAGGGUGCAGCUUUUGUGCCAGCCGCCACUCCUCACACACACAUAGCUUAUGCGCAUACACGUGCAUGCAUGCAUGCAGAUGCACUGGGCCAGAAGGGUAGCUCGCAAUGUUGUUUUUCUUUUAGAAUGGGGGAAUGUCCCUGGCUCCCGGCCAGCUUCUAUGCAAAUUCAAUCAGCAGACAUCACCCACGGAGGCGGCGGGGUGGUCAACACUUGCCCCGGUGGCCUCUUUCUCGUUGUCACCGGUCGUGUGCUAUACACAAGUCAGGAUUUGUAGAGAUUUCAGGUUGCAGAUAUUUUUUGUUCGUACAAUCUCAGGAAUUUCAAGAAAAAUAAUUCCACCUGGGGCCGCCUUUCGUUUUUUUUGCUUAACGAAAAAAUAAUAAUAAUAAUAAUGUGUUUCUCUGCGCACCCCAAAAAAAAAACCUUCGCGCAGAAAAAAAACCCCUUCGUGUUCUUGCCCGACAGCCAAGCACAAUACGAGAGCACGCGUUGACAAUACCACGCAUUGUGCCACCAACCCCCCCCUCGCCCCUCCUCUCCACGCAGCGAAACAGAACGUCCACACACAACACAAACAGCGGUUACCUGCUGCAACGCAUUAGCGCAGCGUGUUUUCCAUGAAAUGGUAGCAUUAAUCAAGGGCGCGGGGUGGGGGGGCUGAAUUAAAUCAAGUGCUAACGUCGGGUAACAAUGCAGCGCUCUGUGCGUCUAUCAGAGGGCUGGGAAUACAAGAAUCCCCUUUGAACUAGAACCGUUUAAAUAUGCACUUAAUCAUUUUCGAUACGUUCGAAUGUGUAUUACGAUUGUGCGGUCCGUACUAAUGUUUUAUUUCAGUGCCGCUACAGGUGAAAGUAUAUGUGUUUGUAUGUAUGUGGGUAUUCAUGUAUGUAUAGGUAUGUUUGUAUAUAUGUAUAUGUAGGUUUGUAUGUAUGUAGCUACCAUAAAAAUAUAUAAAUGCAUUGGUCAUCGUCGUAAAAUAGUGAACAGUUAUUCGUGUCGAGGGCAUUUUAUGCGUGAAAAAUAUUUUCGGAAUUUAAAUGUGAUGCGUAACAAUAAAAAUAAGCGUAUGAGUUCACGUGAUAAAUGAGAGGCUUUGUCUGGUUUUUUUUGUUCAUUGUCCAACGAAGUUUGCUGCAGGGAUUCAAAGUAAUAUCGCAGUGAGAAUGUGAGCCUCGAGUUAAUGCACACCCCACAGUUUAGCUUGACAGAUUUCGCAGUAUCGACUGAAACAACUCGUGACAUCAAUGCACGGUCGCGAUACACUCCCUGAACGUACACUUUAAUCGCAUCGUGUCAAAAUGUGAGUGUAAAUUACUCAAAGGCGCCAAACUUUAUCUGGACCGCGCAUGUCAGAUAUUUCCAGCGCUAUGACAGAGCCUUGGGUGGGGGAAGGGGGGUGGUGGCGUCAUAGUCAGUGCACUGCACUAUGAAGAGCCUUGCAGGAUUAAACUAUUAAACAAAAACUAAACUUUUUAUUGUUUUACCAGGUAAGGCCAACUGAGCUAUACAUCUCUUUUUUUUCAGCAACGACAUGGCCACGAAUGAUAGCUCAACAAAGUGGCUUAUCGUGUGGAAAUGUAUAGCAGCCGAAUAAUAAAAUAACGCAUGUCUCUAAACGUGGAGGGAAAAACCGGAGCAGCCAAAAAAAAAUCGACGCGACCAUGGGGACAGAGGCACGUAAACUCCAAAUAUACAGCAGCAGGCGCCAGGGUCGGGAUCGAACCCACGACCUCCUGUACACCAGGCGAGGUAGCUAACAUCUCCGAGCCACCGCAGCGAUGAUGUCAGCGAUGGGGAACAAACGGCGGCGCGUGACAGUUGAAUGUCUCCUCAUGCCCCCCCCCUCCCACCUUCACCGUGGUGAAGUAUGGUGAAACGACCCCCCACGUAACUGACAGGGUGUUGUUGCGGAGGUCUUCAUUCGGUAAGUGGAUACACUGCUGUGAGUAAUAUAAUCGUCAAUGAAACAUUGAAGCUUCGUUUUCUCAAGAUGGCUCAGUGUAUAACAUAUGAUGACUCUGUGGAAUUAUCUCAGUUCAACGCGCAGCCUUUCGCGAGCAAUAUUAUCAACAGGAAAGGUUUUUUUUUUUGGGCUACAUCGCGUGAAUAUAAAAGUGUCGUUAACCCGCCACCACCCGACACGGCCAAUUAGUGAGGUUUGUCGCGUGAACAAAACGUGCCAAUUCGUUACUACUUCCGCACACCGGUGUGGUGGAGAGAAAACCCAGAGCAUUGACAAUUUGAGCAUCGUGACGUUCCGCUGGUGAUUGCAACCAGCUUCUUCAGGCGAUUUGCCAAAGUUGUGAAGAAGUCCCCCUGUUUGGGUCUUAAGUAGAGUAUUGUGGGCGUAACGAGUCAUUGAUUCACAGCAGGGUUCACGAUACGCGUGUGUCAACAUCGACGUACUUCCAUCCGCAUGCGGUUGUGCGCUAGUGAGUUCAGCACGAGAGGUCUCUGCAGCCACCACGAUGUUAAAAGCAGAGAACCGAGUUCUUGAAUCGAACCGUGAUGCUGAAUCACAAUAAUUAAUUGUAUUAAUUUAAUUGUUGGAUGUGGUGGGGGGGGGGGGGGUGUUGAAUUGUUACAGCCCUGUUUUAGAUUCUAACAAAACGUUACAAGUGAUUUCAACGAGGUUUCUUAGUUGUUGUUAUUGUUGAGCUACAUUAACGCUGCUGGAUAAUAAAAAUAAAAUACAACUUAAACGGUCUUCUCAUGCGUGGGAUUCCUGUGCGAAGUGACGAAUCGCAAAGCUAAGCAGUCAUUAAGUACCAUGGAUGAGAAGGCAUCGGUGUGGUGCAGUGGUGACCUUUGCCUCUCGCAGAAAGAAGGCCUGAGUUUGAUUCUCCACUCGGGUGCCUUUCUGCAUGGAGUUUGUGUGUUAGCCACUCGUUCUACAUGGAUUUCCUCUGGGUUCUCCUACCUAUUCCCAUAACCCCCCCCCCCCCCCAAUUUUUUUUUUCUAAAUCAACGUAACUGGUAUCGGUCAAGCAUCCAAAUACAAACAAAUACGUGCAUGCUACUCAAUUAGGGUUAAACAUUGCAACAUCACCCCCUCCUGCGAACACCUUGCAGGACCAUCUUGUGAAUUUAUCUCGACACGAAGUGAGGCUUCCCUGGGUAAACAAAUAUAAUAAUACAUAAAUAAGGAUAAAAUAAGUAACUUGCUCAAAAUCACUUUGUUAUGAUCUCGCUCUCUCAUGCUGCCCACUGCCGCACUAGAAACUAAUAAUGUAUUUAUUUAGAGCCUGGCUCUGUAACUUUGGCUGCUGAAGCCACAAAUUUAAUCCCUAAUUUGAUUUAAAAUAAAGCCAUUUAUAUAUUUUAUUAUUCGUACCACUGAAACUUGGGACGCACAAAGGAGUUGCUGGCCGUCGGCGUGGAGCAGACAACCUGGGCCAACAACGCGAGCGAGGGAGGGGAGGGAGGGAGGGGUGAGCAGGCGCUACUCUGUGGACAGACCCGCCGGAGCCUGGCACAUGCCCACCACAUUUAACAAACACAAGCUGGCAAGCCAAACCCAUUGGGGGGCGAGGGAGGCUCAAUUCUCUUUCAUGGGAAAUCAACUCCUGUGUGUUUUCGCGCUCGACCGCAUGUAGGGCUCACAGAGGCACAUGGCAACAGUGAACGCAGAUUACUGUAACUGUGCGCACUGAUGAGUCCAAGUGAGAACGACGCCGACACGAUAAGUUGCGUCUUCGCUUCGCUGCUGCUUUUUGGGGCACAGCGGUUGAGUGUGGUGGAGCGCUGACCCGGUGGUUAGCGCGCUACGCUACGAGUCCGACCGCUCACCGCUCACCAGUUUGAGGCGAUCAACUCGUGGCACUUGAGAGGCCGCCUUCAUGAAGGGGCAGCUGGCACCCAGUAUCGAGGCCUGGAUCUCAGCGGUGCCACGCAGCGCUCUGACCUCUGACCCCUGAGCUACCCGGCCACCGGGCAACGUAUUUUUGGCAACUGUGACAUUGUUUUUUUUAUUAGAUUUAAAUGAAUAUUAUAUAUUUUUUUAUAUAGAAGUGGGUGGGGAAGGAUCCAGUUUACAGUAAUUAAUUUGUGAAUGUCUCAAAUAGUUAAGCUAAUGUACACACCAGCAGAUAAAUGUAUGUAUGUUGAACUUCUUUCGUACCGUACGUAGCAAACCACAUUAUGCACACAGUAUUAUAGAAUAAUAAGAGUCUACAAGCAUUUGGCAAUCCAAUUAUGGAAAGAUUGCUCAUAUCAUUUUGGCCAUGGGGGUUAUUUGACCAUACUUCACCACACUGGUCAGUACGGGUUUAUAAAGGGUGGGGGGAGGACAGGGCAAG